UACGAAGGGGGCUAGCGUUGCUCGGAAUCACUGGGCGUAAAGCGCACGUAGGCGGCUUUUUAAGUCAGGGGUGAAAUCCCGGGGCUCAACCCCGGAACUGCCUUUGAUACUGGGUAUCUCGAGUCCGAGAGAGGUGAGUGGAAUUCCGAGUGUAGAGGUGAAAUUCGUAGAUAUUCGGAAGAACACCAGUGGCGAAGGCGGCUCACUGGACUGGUAUUGACGCUGAGGUGCGAAAGCGUGGGGAGCAAACAGG
rnacentral:rRNA from 1 species